CUGGCUGAGACGCACGUUGCUAAGUGGUGUUUCGCGGGAAGCCGGCUCCGCGAUGCGUAUUGGUGGUCUGUAGGACCCUAUCCCUGGAGGCCGGCGGCUCCCAGCCCCGGCCGGCCGGGUAGCGAGGGGACCAGGCCGCUCUGGCCCUUCUCCGGGGGUGCUGGGCGGCCCCCGGUGCCGCCAGGGGGACGGCGGCCGGGCUUUCUGCGUGCGGAGAGGCCGGUGGAGCCUUACCGGUCAAUGCGAUUCAAAAAGGGAACCCGGGCAGGAUGUUAUCCGCGGUUUUCUUUCCAAGUUAGUGCAACUAGAUCGGUACUGUGUGCUUUAUUAGUAGUAAGAAGUUCACACAUAACUUUUGUUCGGAUCACAGAAACACUGUAUUUUCUGGGUGGAAAGCACAGAAAUAUAAACAGUAAAACAGAAACCAUCAUUGAUCCCACAGUUCCUACCGGCUUCAGUAUUUACCUUCUUUGAUAUUCAUAUUGCACCCGCUUGCUGAUCUAAUCGGUAAGUUUAGAUGUUGAACCUCUCUGACUAAAUGAAAGCAAUCCCUUUGUGAAGCUCUCCCCCUCCCCCCUUUUAAACCUGAUUGUCUCUGAGCACCAAAGUUUGGGUGUCUGGACCUUGCUGCCUUCUCAGGCCCCGGGGGUCCCCUUUGUAGUGGGUGGUGUUUUCCAUGCCUUCUGCAGGCCGGAGAUGGAGAGAGAAGCCGGCAGUCAGCUAGACCACUGGCUCAGAGGAGAUUGGCUGUGGUUUGGGUUCCUUGCCUUGUAAAAAUGAAGGUAAUGAUUCUCAAUCUGCUUCUCAGGGGCACCAUAAAAAUUAAUGGGUGGUUUGCAAAGCAUUUCGACAUCCUUGCAUCGACAGCGGCUGUACUUUGAGGGGCUAGGAAGCAUUUCAUUCGUGUCCUUUGCUUUCGUCAUCAAAUAAAACAGUCUACCUCCCACCUGGUCAUCCCGACUAGGAGACGGGAGUGUCCAGUGGAGUCUGGAGAAGGUUCCCGGCUCCCUGCUCAGCACUGGCUUUCCAGGCCGAGUCCCUCAGGAAAUGGGGCUUGGGAGGCUUGGAAGGAGACAGAACCCCCUUAUCCGUCUCCCCUAUCUGCUUUAUGCACAUGGGCAGAUGCCCAGAGUGUAAGGGGGCUUUGGCAUUAAAGCCCCAGGGUUCAUAGGCCUGAUGCCGAGGCCACGCUGAUCUGAGAGGGAGCAGUUAGUUCUGGGGGAAGGACUCAGACAGUGAAAACCCUGGCUUCCUAGGCAUUUGUUUUACGGCACUCUUGUUUACCAGAUGAACAAUGACCCGCUCAGAUCUGUGGUGCCUGAGAAACUCCUGUGAGCUUUAAUUUUUUUCCUGUUGUCCCAAGACUCUGGCACCAUGCUUUAAGGAGCCUUUGAAAGCAAUUGGGAGGGACUCGGAUCAUUUGUUAAUUUCAGAUACUAAAAGCUGGAGCCGGAGCCAUCUGAGGUGCCACACAGGUUGGCUUUUGUUCCCCUGGCAAAGCAGCCGUGACGGAAGCGCCUCUCUGUGUAGCAGGUCUGGAGGGUUCCAGUUUGUCAUUUGAUAGUUUCAUUUUUUUUUUAAUUGUCACUCCCACCAACACUUUGUUCUGCCCAAGGGCUAGGAGCUGAGCACAGUCCAGACACAGGGGGCUUUCCGGAAGGACCCAGAAAGUGGGCUGGACGAGUUACUGAUAAGUAUCCUUCCAGGCUCCUGGACUCUUAGUGUUGUGCCCGGAAUGUUCUCUGAGUUAGGAGGAAGGGGGAGUCCUGGAUUUUCUCCUGUGCUGUUUGCUAACUCAAUUUCUAGUCACCCAGCGGCCUGGAAUUGUUUCCCUGCAGGCUGCUUCAACAGACUUUUUUCUCAUUCUAAUGGUACUGGUGUGAUAAUAAGAUAUGCUAAUAGGAACGAGGUUGACGCCCCUGGGUCCUGGGAGGCCGCUCCCCUGUUUAAAUCCUGGCUUCCGGGCCAGUUAAGUGUGGGAAGGAUGUGUGCGCUUCCUUCUUGCAAGGCAGGAGGCCACCUGGCUUCCCUCAGCUUCUUAGGGGAGCCCUUGGCCCGAACAAGGUGAGAAGCCACUUCACUGGGCCCUGGCUGACCUUACCCCAGCUGGGGGCAAACCACCGUGGCUCCCUGUUUGAGGAAACAGGCUUGUGUGUGCCUUGUGGGGUUGGGGCCAGCCACGUGGGUUUUCUUUAGCUUGGUUCUUUUCAAAUUCAACACCUGAAUUGGGCCACGUUGCAAUUUUUCUCCUGAGAAUUGGAGUCAGUCCCCUGAGAUGUGUUUCCUAAGGCCCUGGAGAUGAGCACUGGGACUGCUUUGUCCUGAGGGCACCGCCUGACAGCCAGGAACUGGGCAGCUAAAUAGACUUUACCCUGACCUCAGGGCCAGGAGGGGAGCCCGGAGCAGUCCAGUGUUGACACUCAGCUUUCUGCAAGCUGGAUCCUGCCUCCCCGCUGCUUGCACAAUAGAAGCCCCUCAUUCUGCCUUCACCCUCCAGGGAGAGAGUGACAGAAAAAAUAAUUCAGCAAGCCCCUAAACACCCAGCUACUUACCAGGGUCUUCCAGGAAGCCUGAGCCUGCUUCUCCAUGGGCCCUGCGGGCAUCGUGUGUUACUGGACAGCAUCUGAUGCAUUCAGGACCAGAGUCUGGGGGAAGGAUGUUGAUACAAGAGUGUGUGAUGUGAUUCUAGGAAGGGUGAAAUUCUUUACAGUUCAUCACUGCCUCCCAUCUGCCAAGUGUACAAAAUAUCUUCCCAAACCACUGGUAAGCAAAUAUGGACUUGUAAGUUGAGAUUUGGGGUGUUGUAAUGUGGAUCCCUUGGGCUUCCCAGAUGGCACGGUGGUAAAGAAUCUGCCUGCCAAUGCAGGAGACACAGGUUCGAUCCCUGGGUGCCAUCUCUGGGUCAGGAAGAUCCCCCUGGAGGAGGAAACGGCAACCCACUCCAAUAUUCUCACCUGGGAGAUUGCGUGGAUGGAGAAGCCUGGCACGCUACAGUCCAUGGGAUCACAGAGCCGGACACACCUGAGCACAAAACAGGGAUUGCUUGCUAAGGGUUUGUGAUGGACCUGAUCCAGCAUGCAGACUUUAAAAUCCUCACAGAAACUGUGAGGGUUUCCCUUUUACAGGAAAACUACCAGAACUGAAGUCGCUCCUCCAGCCUUAUUGUCCAGUAAGUACUCGAGCUGGGAUUUAAACCCGUACCUGCCUGAAUCCAGAGCUCUUCAUCACAUCUCCCCGCGUGCCUAAAUGAAAGAAACAAGUCACACCUUCGGGAGCGUGAAGACACAGGCAUGGAAAUAGCAGAGUGCCUACCUCCUUUAGACAGUGAUAACAAAAAGGUGGUGAAAUCUUCAAAACCUGAGAAAUCUUUGCAGCCUAAAUGGAAGGCAAUGCGUUUGCACCUUUGUCCCCCAGAGGGCCAUGCCCUUGCACCCUGUCUACAAGGUAAAGUUUGAGGUAUUUGGAAGAUGGUGAUUUUGAAGUUGGGGACAGCUCAGAAUCUGCUCUGAAGUUUGUCCUUGUACCAUGAAAAGAGGGUAUUCUGGGCAGAUGGGGUCACUAGAAUAAGAUUAAGAUUAUAGGAAGGCUGUUGAGUAAAUGUAAGAUAAGUUCCACCUUCCACUGUACAAUCAAAUAAAGGAGACACUAAUGAGAUUAGUCUUAUCUGCUCCAUGAAGCCUCGUCUUCAGGGAACUCUGAGCUGAUGCCUGGUAGUCCAGCUCUUCUGAACCAAUUGAAAAGAAUCCUUUCCGUGAAAGAGUUUUUGUGGUUCCAAAUUCUUAUUAAAUCACCUUCUCCACUCUCCCGCCCCUUCCCUGUUCUCCCAGCCUGCUUCACUGAGGAAAACGCUGCCCCAUUCUCAUGAAACAGGGAAGCUUGCUAAGGUCUGCAGGCAUAAAAGGAAUUUAAAUGUUUCCUUGGUCUCUGAGCCUGAAGUGUGCUGGUCAGCUUGCUCUCAGGGGAGAAACAAAGAGCCUUGAUGCAAGCAUCUGCCAACUGCCCUCGUGUACAUCCUGCCUCCAUGGCUGAGUUCAAGCUGCCAGUUGGGUCUGGCAAUAUUAUUAUGAAGUAUCUGAAGAUCUGUGUAGCCAGGAAGAGUGGGCUCCAGCUUGCCUUUCAUUGCACUGAGCUCACCAGCCCAGCCCCCUUGUACAAUGGGUGAAAUGGUUACCUGGCUUCUGCUUGGACCAUGGCUGCCCGGGAGCUAUAUGUUCUGAAAGGAUUUGGAUGUCGCUCAGUAGCCUAAUUUGACCAUCAGGAGCCGAGUGCUUCUAAACUCAAGGCUCCUAUGUGUAUGCGUGUGCACACAGUCAUGUCCCUGUGGACUGUAGCCUACCAGGCUCCUCUGUCCAUGGCAGUUCUCCAGGCAAGAAUACUGGAGUGGGUUGCCAUUUCCAGGGGAUCUUCCUGACCCAGGGAUCAAACCCACAUCUCCUCCACUGGCAGGCAGAUUCUUCACCUCUAGUGCCACCUGGGAAACUUUAAAAGCUCCCCAGUGGAAUCAGCUGGAGAAGGCAAUGGCACCCCACUCCAGUACUCUCGCCUGGAAAAUCCCAUGGACAGAGGAUCCUGGUGGGCUGCAGUCCGUGGGGUCGGACACGACUGAGCGCCUUCACUUUCACUUCCCACUUUCAUGCAUUGGAGAAGGAAAUGGCAACCCACUCCAGUGUUCUUGCCUGGAGAAUCCCAGGGAUGGCGGAGCCUGGUGGGCUGCCGUCUAUGGGGUCGUACAGAGUCAGACACGACUGAAGCGACUUAGAAGCAGCAGCAGUGGAAUCAGCAGUCUGAUGUGUGUCCAGGAUUGAACUCCACCAAGGUAGGGAAUUUGUAUAAGAAGGAAACUAGGGACUAGGAGUGGUCAACUCUGUUUUUGAAACCAAGGAGUUGAACCGUGUGGAGUAAGGGAGACAGAGCUGGCAUCCACAGGGCCUUCCUAGGAUCGUACGAGGGGAGAAGGGAGAAACUCGAUGGCUGAGGGCCCUUUAAGAGUCUGAGCUUGGUUGCACAUAAGCUGAUUACUUUUUCGCUAUCAUAAUUAGCAGUCAAAUUAUUUAAAAUGUAAGUGCUUCCUUGAGAGGCAGCAAGCGCGUGGGAAGGAGAUGGGCUGAGCCAGGCUUGUGAGCAGCUUGGGACCAGGAAGGGGCCACCAGGCCUGAGACGCAGGCUCAAGGAGACAUCUGUCUCGUGUGAUACAAACGCAGGGUCAGGGAGCGGCUGUGUGAGAGGGGCUGGCUGGAGGCUCACUUCCUUAGAGUCGAACCAUCACCCUGGAAGAGCUCACUGCAGACUUGAGUGGGGAGCAGGCCUGGGAGCACCCCUCUCAGUCACUCCAUGAUGACAAGGCACCCAGGAGGAGGUUGGGAUGUGGAGGAAGGGGUCUGGGAGCCCAGCACAAACAGGACAAUUCUGGGUCAUGAAUGAUCAGAGAAGUAACACCUGGAAGACCAGGGGCCCCUGGUUUGGUUUGUUAGGACCGUGUGAUUGUGCUCCUGAGGAAGAUUCUAGAAAACCAAGGACGAGACAUGUAGCCCACAGACACUGAGUGUUAGUGUCAUUUGAGGAUGUCAAGGCAGGAAGGACCUGGAAUUAUGUCAGAGGGGCUGGGAUGCUGAGGCUGUGGAGGCCUGGUGGGGGCGCUGAAGGGAGGGGGGUAGGACCAGCACAGAGUGAUGGAGGUCCAAUGAGGGGGUGAGUGGCCCCGGGGACUGUGAGGGCAAGAGGUGGGUGUGAGAGGUUGUCAUGGGGACUAACUCUUUAAAAGACUCCCCCUCACGCCCUCCUCCAUGCCUUUUCAUGUUGCACAUCUGCAGCUUGUUUUACCAGCCUUUUUUGGGGUAAGGGGGACUGUCCUCAUUUGUCUCCAAGACCCUGCUCCCUGAGUCUCCUCAGGGAAGCCUUUUCUGACUGCUGAGGUCAGGAGCUGACCGCUGCUUCCUUGCUGUCAUCCCCCUGGGCGGGGCUCUGCUGGACAAGGGGCUGCACUUUCUUUUUCUUCGCAUCCUUGCUGUACAGACAGCGCAUCCUGUGAACCAGGAGGGAGCAGGGUGGAGACCAGGGCAGUGAUUGCCCUAUAGCCAUGAAGUAGCGAUACUGCUGGUCUCUUCUUAUCUUCACAGCUAAAAAUUAUACCAGAGGAGGAAAGCAAUUCCUUUGAAUAAUAAUCAACUGACUUGAAAUGCUGCCCAGCAGUCCCUUCACAGCUCUGCCCUUUGCCAUCUCACUUACCCCAACUUCCUGCCUUUGUUUACCUGUUCGUGCUAUCACCCUUUUGGAAAGGAUUUUUAAUUUUUAUAACUUUAGGACGCAGGAAGGUACAGCUCUUCCUCGACUUCAGAUGAGGUUAUGUACUGAUAAAUCCAUUGUAUGCCGAACAUAUUGAAAAUGCAUUUAAUACAUCUAAGCUCCCCAGAGUCGUACCUUAACCUUCCCUAACUUCAGCAUGCUCUGAACACUGUUAGCCCACAGUUGGGCAGAGUCAUCAAACACAAAGCCUGUUGGGUAAUGAAGUGUUGAAUAGCUCACAUAAUUGAUUGAAUAUGGUACUGAAAAUGAAAGACAGAAUGAUUGGGUGCAGAAUGGUUUUGUGUCUGUUCUUGGCCCCAGUGGUCACACUCUGCCCUGCCCAGCAUCACGGAAGACUGUGAGACCCACAUACACUAGCCUCAGAAAAGAGCGGAAUUGAAAAUCUGAAGUCCUGUUUCUACUGAGUGCAUGUUGCUUUCACAGUCUGGUAAAGUCAAGAGAUGUAAGUCAGGUGCGCACGCCUGUGCUUAGUCACUGAGUCACAUCAGACUCUUUGGGAUCAUAAACUGUAGCCUGCCAGGCUCCUAUCCAUGGGAUUUCCUGGCGAAAAUAUUGGAGGGGGUUGCCAUUCCCUUCUCCAGGGGAUCUUCCCGGCCCAGGGAUCAACUCCCAUCUCCUGCCCUGGUAGGCAGAUUUCUUUACCACUGAGCCAGCUUGUUCAGUCACUAAGUCGUGUCUGACUCUUUGCGAUCUCAUGGACUGCAGCCUGCCAGGCUGCCCUGUCCUUCACCACCUCCCGGAGUUUGCUCACACUUAUGUCCAGUGAGUCGGUAAUAACAUCCAAUAAGUCAGGGACCAUCUGUAAAUGGAAUGUGUGAAAAAUGCAGCUUCGUUUAAACAUUCGAAAAUUACCCUGAGAAUCGUUGCUUUGACAAGUGGUGUCAGAUGUUUGUUGUGUGUCCCUUAGAGAAGUGGAAAAUAAAACCUCGCGUUUGAAUUUAACUGGGGAUGAUGGCUGGAGUCACUGUUCUGCAUAUAACAGUUCGUGUCAAGCUCUGGGCCAGGCCUGUGAGCCAGGGCCUCUCCGAGCAGCAGGUGGGGGUGACGACAAUGGUAGAAAGAGUCAGCUGCUCUGGUCCGCUCUCCCUUUCCCUCCCUGUCAUCCUGGCCCAAAUCUCCUCUGGCAGAAGUUGUGGGUUUUUUCGCCCUUGUGGCUUUAGAAAUCAGUGUUUAUGACAUCUUAAGGAGGGAAACUUUAUUCUGGUUUUGUGCUGGUCCGCAGCCAUUAGGCUAUUUCACCUUUCUGUCCUGGAUUAGGAGACCGAAGUUUCCCAUUUUGAUCACAUGUUUCUUUUCGGUCAGUCAAAUAUGAAACAGUCUGAUUUGCACAACUGAAAGUCAUCAGGGGAGAUUCAGAAAUGAAGUGAUUGACCAUCCAUCAUGUUCUCCUAAACACUGUUUUUUGUUCCUGAGGCCAUUGUCAGGGCAGACUGGAAUGUGACAAGUUCCUUUUCUCAGGCGUGUCUCCAGUGGUCUUUGUUGAGAUCUAUUUUAUCCUGGGUGAUGUCAUGAGCUUCCAAAUCCCACACACCUGUCUGUGUUUGCAUCUUUGACUUCUGUUUGCUUCUGGCUUUGACCUUGGACAAAUUUUUUGACUUCUUUGAAGCUAGGCUUUCUCACCUGUAAAGCGGUGUUGGUGCCACUUAACUUCCCUGUCUGGGAGAUUCUCAUGUGGAGAAAUGGACCUUACUGCAUCACCCUCUCUUGUGCUUUGAGCCCCAUACCUGUCCUGGGGAGGUUUUCAUGACUGUGGCCUUUGGGGUCUUGUGCACACUUGCAGAUUUUUUUUUUAAAUGUUAAGUAGAGAUUUUGUGUGAUGCCUCACCAUCUGAAUUAAACAGGAGUGCAGGGGUUUGAUAUUAUUUAGAUAUUCAGUCUGAUGUUUAAAGAAUGUGUUUCCAUUGUAAGUAUUGAUAUUUAAAGAUAAUGGUAAGUGGCUAAGGAUUAGAAUCCCCAGUCUUUGCUCUGUCUCUGAAAUUCCUGGUGCAGGAAGAGAGGUGAGGGAUGGGGUCAGCAAGUUUCACUCCAGUCUGAAACCUGGAGUGGAGAAUGGUCCUGGCUUGUAGACUGGGGGCCCCAGCAGCCAGUGGCUGCUCUGUGCCUCUUGCAAGAAGGCCUGACAUGUCCUCUCUACCUUGGGGGAUCAGGGAGGGAGGUGAAGCAUCUAGUGUUCAACAGACAUCUUUUCUAGAUAUAUGAAUUGUUUCAGGAAGAGUCUUUUGUGAUUUUUCAUUCUUAAAAAAACUGUGUCCACUUAAGGUUUUUUUUUCCCUUCCUCAAGUAAUUAUGUGUUCAUUUUAGAAACGGUGUGUGUGUGUGUGUGUGUGUGUUUUAGUCACUUGAUUGUGUCAAACUCUUUUUGACUCCAUACACUAUACUUCAGCAGGCUCCUCUGACCAUGAGAUUUCCCAGGUAAGAAUUCUGGAGUGAGUUGCCAUUCUGUUUUCCAAGGGAUCUUGCCGACCCAGAGAUCGAACCUGGGUCUCCUGCAUUGCAGGCAGAUUCUUUACCAUCUGAGCCGUCAUGGAGCCCCUUUAGAAACAUUAGAAAAUGCAAGAGAAGAAAAAAGUUCACAGUGGAAUUCUGCCACUCAGGGUAACUGCUCUGGGCAUUUUUGUGUGUUUCAGGUAAUUUCACAUGUAAACCUGCUGCUGCUAAGUCGCUUCAGUCUUGUCGACUCUGUGCGACCCAUAGAUGGCAGCCCACCAGACUCCCCCGUCCCUGGGAUUCUCCAGGCAAGAACACUGGAGUGGGUUGCCAUUUCCUUCUCCAGUGCAUGAAAGUGAAAAGUGGAAAGUGAAAGUGAAGUUGUUCAGUCGUGUCCGACCCUCAGCGACCCCAUGGACUGCAGCCUACCAGGCUCCUCCGUCCAUGGGAUUUUCCAGGCAAGAGUAUUGGAGUGGGGUGCCAUCACCUUCUCUGACAUGUAAAUCUAGAUCCUUCCAAAAGCAACAAGAUGGUGAAGUGGGAACUUGGUUUUUUGUUCACUAGAUGCCUGACACAUAGUUAUCCUUCAGUUAGUCCUUCCCUGUUGAAUGAAUACGACACCUUUUACCAAAAAAAUUGUUGAUAUACCUUCAGAUCAAUAAGUAGAGAUUUGCAUCCUCAGUUUUACUGUCAAUCUCUUAGGGGAUGCACCCUCUUAACAAGUCCUUGUUCAUAGACAGUUUCCAAAUUAUAAAAGUUACUGCAGUGAACAUCUUUCAAAACAUGUAAGUUUUUUCUUCCAAUGAUUUUCUUUUCUUUUAUUCUUAACUUCUAUAAAGAACUUCUAACUUUAUUAAUGAUUGGGUGAAGGUAUAAUUGAAGGAGGAAACAGCAACCCACUCCAGUAUUCUUGCCUGGAGAAUCCCAUGGACAGAUGAGCCUGGUGGGCUACAGUGUAUGGGGUCACAGAGUCAGACACAGCUUAGCUACUGAGCACACACAAAGACAUAAUCGCUGCUCAGAAAAGCAUGUGCAAAGGGAGUGGCAUCCGGGAGAGUUUCUCUAUCUGUUGAGUGAAACUUGGUGAACUUUGAGAUCCGUCUCAGCCUCUCUGGCACUCCUUUGCAAGGAAUUGAUUUUUUUUUUAAUUAAUGUAAUUAUUUAUUUGGCUGCACCGGGUCUUAGUUGCCGUACUCGGGAUCUUGAGUUUCAGCAUGUGGAACCCAGUUCCCUGACCAGGAAUUGAACCCAGGUCCUCUGCAUCAGGAGCCCAGAUUCUUAGCCACUGGAGCACCGGGGAAUUCCUGGGGAACUGAUUUCUGACCGACCGGGUGCUCACUCUACCUUGUGAGUUUUGGCAGGCAGGGGCUGGGAGUGCUUAUCACGGUUUUAGGGAAUGUACAUGCAUGCCAGUUUCAGAAACAGUACCAUAUGGGGACGUCGUGUGUCCUGAAGCCCGGGAAAUGUUUCUGUUGGACAUCUUCAGGGCCCUCUCCCCGCUGGAAAGGGAAGCGGCUGAUGUGCAUGCAUUCGGCUUCAGGAGCUGCCACUUGGAGCUCCCCAGGCUCCUGUCGCUAUGGACCUCAGGAGUGAUCCGUGGGGCUGUCUGCGUCCCUUGGGGAGCUAUGACCUGACGGACUGCCCUUUGAUCUAGCACACGGUGAUGGCGCAGACUUGAUUUCUGAGACCUGUGGGUUCAUUAAGGGCAGAAAGUACUUAAUACCUUCCACUGAUGGUAAGGCCGUAAUUUUGAUUUCUAGCUGUGGUCUGGCGUCACAGCACUUCUUCCUUCUGGCAGGAGGGGGAUGCUGAGUUAUGGGCGGGAUAUUGGUUGGCCCGUGUCCUGAGCGUGGUUUGCGGGGGACCUGGCUGCCUCCUCUGUCUUGGCGCCCGGGUUCCCGUGAGUCAUUGUCCACUCAGCGUAAGAUGAGGCGGCACUUUUCAGGCUGGCCGGGAGGCAGGAGGACUGCUCUUUCAUGCUGGUUAUUUGUCCUGGCUGCCAGGCCCACCUCAUGGAGUUUGAGGGGGUGGGGAGCCCCUAGAUCGGGCUUGAGAACCAGGCCCUCUUGUAACUCAUGCAUUUCCUCCCUCACUGUGAGCCAGAUUGAUGAGGGGGUGGGGAUGGAGGGGAUGGAAAGUCCACCAGGGACAGCCUCUGUGCCGGGAAUUGGCUGCCAGUGUCCCAGGAGAAGAGGUCAGGACUCCCCAGGUGUGCUGGAGGUCAGGACUGGCUCCCCACAGAAGCCCUGCUAAGUGGGGGCCCCAAAGGAAUUGAGUGGGAGCCCAACGGAUACUUAUGUGUGGCGGGCAGUUGGGUGAAUGCCAGGAACUAAUAGAGGUGCUAGUUUUCUGGGAGCAUGCAGAGAGGAUGGGAAACGCGGGUGGCAGGCGUCUGGAAGGGUGGGUCCUUCAGGUCAUCAGUCGGCUUUGAACUUUUAUCUCAGGCCACCGGGAAGAUGAUGACAAGGAACCUGACUUGCAAGGGGUCCAGAAGCUGAGCAGAUGACCAUGCCUCCCUGCUCACAUCCGUGAUCCCCCGUAGCUACCUGGGGGUCCCCUCCUGUUGCUCCACUCUGCAACCCACGGGGGGAGCCAUGCCCUUCUGACCUACUGUGAGAGUAUCGUAGAAUCAUCCGGAUGUUUAAACGACCACCCUGGACAGUUUUAAGAGUGACCUUCGUUACCCAAAUGACACUUGGCAACUGGGCCUGCUGUCAGAUUAUCGAGUCGUAGCAUCUCGUGUUCCAGAAAGGAGAAGGUGCGGAUCAAGAUGCAGAGGCUGCUUGGAUAAAACGACGUGGGAGGGGCCCGGUGAGACAGAUCCAAGUGCCCCGCCCUGGUCAGUGGAGUCCCUGGCCGUUUCUGAGCAUGGCUGUCCCCCUCAACCCCGCGCUCACCAGGCCUGGCAGUCAUUCCCCUCCACGGCCCCCUUCUCCGCCCCCCUUGAGUUGGUAGCCACAAAGGUGCGGCUUUGCUGGCCUUCCAGAAGAUUUCUGUGUUUGACCCAAAUUCACCUGGCUAAUCCUGUGUCUACUUUCGGGGAAAAACUUCAGUCCCACCUUCUGCGCCAGUCAGACAACCCACUGUUCAUCACGCCCUCAGAGUAAAGCCAUUCCUUUAUCAAGGUGAAAAGGGACAGAACUAAAAGCUGGACAAUGAUGUCAUAAAUAACACUUUUUUUUGGUCACUAGUGAAAUUGUCAAGAAAUUGGCCGCUUGCUAAAUGGAGGGUCUGAUGAUUAUUCUGGGAAGAAGCAGGGCUAUUUUGAUGAGCAGGAACACGCAGAGCAGAGGGUGACUCCCAUGGGGACUGAGUGUUGGAGGGUUGUUAGUAACAGGUGGGCAAGGCAUUCAGGACAAAGUGUCGAUUUAUGGCUUAGCAGACCACUGUAAAUUAGGCAUUAUGGGAAAAUCUUGAGCGAGUGUGACUUUGAAUAUGUCAGGUUGCUUGCGGUUGUCCUUUGCCUUCAGGUUUUACUGCUGGGAAUUGCAAAUAGACAGCUCCGUAGAGCUUGCACACCAGGCUAGCCGGAGUGUACAGAAGUGGUUUGGGUGUGAAAACUGAUGGGCCGGUCUGGGGUGGUCAUCUCCCCAUUCACCUGAAACCCCCUUUGUUGUCCUUAACAAAAAGAGUAUACUGUAAAUUUAACAUGUUUGGGGGAGAAAGAGGAGAAAAGGCAGCUGAUAUUUGUCAAACAGAUAGAGGCAUUCAGUAUAACAGGUGCCCUCACUUUUAAUAUAUAAGAUCCUUCUAAAAGCCAGCAGAUUUCCCUGGUGGCUCAGAUGGUAAAGCGUCUCCUGCACUACAGGCAGAAUCUUAACCAUCCGAGCCACCAGAGAAACCCACCCACAUAGAGUAUGAGCCAUUCUCGAAGCGCUUUCCCCAGUCUGGUUUGAUAGGUGUGAUUUGGAAAGUUAGGCUGAUCCUUGCAGAAGAAAUAUUUACACUUAUCUCAGUGGAUGAGCUCCUCACCUGCCUGAGGGAAGGUCCUUUAGAAAUUCAGGAAAGCCAUGAACUUGAUUCCACUUUGCUGCCCUUUAUUUUUUUGAGCUCCAAAACCACUAAAGAUGAUGACUGCAGCCAUGAAACUAAAAGAUGCUUACUCCUUGGAAGAAAAGUUAUGACCAACUUAGACAGCAUAUUAAAAAGCAGAGACAUUACGUUGCCAACAAACGUCCAUCUAGUCAAGGCUAUGGUUUUUCCAGUAGCCAUGUAUGGAUGUAAGAAUUGGACUAUAAAGAAAGCUGAGCACUGAAGGAUUGAUGCUUUUGAACUGUGGUGCUGGAGAAGACUCUUGAGAGUCCCUUGGACAGCAAGGAGAUCCAACCAGUCCAUCCUAAAGGAAAUCAGUGCUGACUGUUCAUUGGAAGGACUGAUGUUGAAGCUGAAACUCCAAUACUUUGGCCGCCUGAUGCAAAGAGCUGACUCAUUUGAAAAGACCCUGAUGCUGGGAAAGAUUGAAUGUAGGAAGAUAAGGGAAAAACAGGAUGAGAUGGUUGGAUGGCAUCACCGACUCAAUGGACAUGUGCUUGAAAUAGCUCCGGGAGUUGGUGAUGGACAAGGAGGCCUGGUGUGCUGCAGUCCAUGGGAUCGCAAAGAAUUGGACAUGACUGAGUGACCGAACUGAACUGAAAACGCACAGUAUGUGGGGC
ensembl:lncRNA